CUUCCGUAGACGGUAGACAGGAAUAAUAAUAAUAAAAAAAAAACUAUAUAUAUUCAGAUAUCUGAUUUGUUCACGUUAUUAAAAAUAACACAAUGUGUAUCGAUAAUGCCGUUAUGUAUCGGCUGUGUUGUUUCGGCGCGAUAUUGUCGGGCGUUGGUACCCUAUCUUAAAACCAAAUUUGAUUUUAUCACAGAUUUUUACGGUAACAACUAUAACGGUUAAUAAAGGGGUCGCGUGAAAUAUCCGAAAAUAUUUGGUCAGAACCGUAUGAAAUCCGAAAAAUGUUUCCCCCAGAAACGUAUUUUAUCCGAAAAUGUUCCGUGGCUCAUUUCGGCCGGACCGACGGCGGAUCUAGACAUUUUUUUAAAGGGGGCGCACGUUAUUGAGUACGGAAAAAAAAACAAAAAAAAAAAAACGAGGACGGGUCGCAUACCAUAAUACACAAACGGUCGGUCAUUCAUAGCGGCUCGCGCCGCGCUGAAAACGGCUCUGUAACUAUUAUCGUUUUAUCGGGACCGGAAUGGGCUCGCGUGGCUCACGCGGCCCCGCCGGUACCGGCCGGCGGUGUGUGACCGGAAUUUCUAACGCCCGUGGCGAAAUGACCGAAUGGCGGAGGGGUGGGGUUUGGGCCGAAUGCACGAACCGAGUGGGGUACCGAUUUAAACAGACCGGAGCAAAGACACAGGCCGUCGCCUGUUUGUUCGCACACCCGUCCGUCUGCUGAAACCCGUAAUACC